UAUUGGUAAUAUUUUUGGCUAUGCUUCUUCUUCCAUUGACUUCUGCAGGGCCGCCUGCGAAACAACCGAAAGGGGGCAUUUGUUGGGCAUAUGUGAAUUCUUACGGACCAGCUUGUUUCUCCAUUACCAUCAUCAUCAUUCCAAAGCCAGGAGUAACGAUUACGUACCAAAUAACUGUUAGAGGGAGAUCAACGAUCUGCUGCAUGGCCUACACGUGCUCGAGGUAUUCGUGCUAUAUGAAGUACAUUGGAUGUGGCCGUUACACAUGGAGCUCCUCAACUCUUCCAUGGGAAGGCUUCAAUGUUGUGGCCAGACCAAAAAUGAAAUGCAAAACCAGAAAUCGUCGGACUGUGCGUUAUGAUUAUAACACUAUACACUGAAGUGCUAGCAACUACAUGAAAAACAACGAAAUUCAAAGAUUGCAAUAUCCUCUAAUGUUUUCAAGAUAAUAUAAUCUUAAUAUGGCUAUUUAUGUAACAAAACAAACGCAAAGGAAAACUACAUAUAUAAAAAAAAGAGUUUGAGA
rnacentral:lncRNA from 1 species